rnacentral:tRNA from 1 species
AAGUAGCGGUUUAAGAAAACGUUUGACUGUUAAUCAAAAAGAGCACAGUAGUGUCUACUUAG